AACGAACGCUGGCGGCAUGCCUAACACAUGCAAGUCGAACGAGAACUUCGGGUCUAGGGGCGCACGGGGGCGUAACGCGGGGGAACCUGCCCGUAGGUUCGGAAUAACUCCCCGAAGGGGGUGCUAAUACCGGUUAAGGUCAUAGGACAAAAGAUUUAUCGCCUUUGGGUGGGCGCGGGUUGGAUUAGCUGGUUGGUAGGGUAAAAGCCUACCAAGGCGACGAUCCAGAGCUGGUCUGAGAGGAUGCCCAGCCACACUGGGACUGAGACCCGGCCCAGACUCCUACGGGAGGCAGCAGUGGGGAAUAUUGGACAAUGGGCGCAAGCCUGAUCCAGCAAUGCCGCGUGAGUGAGGAAGGCCUUAGGGUUGUAAAGCUCUUUUACCCGGGAUGAUAAUGACAGUACCGGGUGAAUAAGCUCCGGCUAACUACGUG
rnacentral:rRNA from 1 species